rnacentral:rRNA from 1 species
GCAAGGAAGCACCGGCUAACUCUGUGCCAGCAGCCGCGGUAAUACAGAUCGGUGCGAGCGUUGUUCGGAAUUGAUUGGGCGUAAAGCGCGUGUCUGGCGGCCUAGCAAGUCGGAUGUGAAAGCCCUCGGCUUUAACCGAGGAAGUGCGUUCGAAAGGUUCUACUGGGCUUGAGUACCGGAGAGGCGGUGGCGGAAAUUCCCGGUAGUAGAGGUGAAAUUCGUAGAUAUCGGGAGGAACACCAGUGGCGAAGGCGAC